GGGUAUAGUUCAGUGGUAGAAUAAUGUGUGCUUAGCAUGCACAAGGACCUGGGUUCAAUCCCCAGAACCUCCA
rnacentral:tRNA from 1 species